GCCCCGGCUAACUACGUGCCAGCAGCCGCGGUAAUACGUAGGGGGCGAGCGUUGUCCGGAAUUAUUGGGCGUAAAGGGUACGUAGGCGGCUUUUAAGUUUGACGUGAAAGCCCGGGGCUUAACUCCGGCAAGCGUUGAAAACUGGAGGGCUUGAGUGAUGGAAGGGACAGUGGAAUUCCUGGUGUAGUGGUGAAAUGCGCAGAGAUCAGGAAGAAUACCAGUGGCGAAAGCGACGGUCUGGAUACCAACUGACGCUGAGGUACGAAAGCGUGGGGAGCAAACAGGAUCAGAUACCCUGGUAGUCCACGCUGUAAACGAUGAGUGCUAGAUGUCGGGUGUCAAAGCCCGGUAUCGCCGUUAACACAUUAAGCACUCCGCCUGGGGAGUACGUACGCA
rnacentral:rRNA from 1 species